CAUCUAGGCGGUCAAUCAAGUUGAAGGUGAAAACUUGUGGCUCAACCAUAAGCUUGCCUACGAAACUGAUUAACUAGAGUACUGGAGAGGUGGACGGAACUACACGAGUAGAGGUGAAAUUCGUAGAUAUGUGUAGGAAUGCCGAUGAUGAAGAUAGUUCACUGGACAGAAACUGACGCUGAAGUGCGAAAGCUAGGGGAGCAACA
rnacentral:rRNA from 1 species